rnacentral:lncRNA from 1 species
AAAAUGUCAACGUUCAUUCAACCUUCUUUCUGAUUCCUACAAUGGAAUAUCGUUUACUUUUGCUCCUCCUUCUACUACUAUCCAUCUCUGUUUUUCUUCAACUAAAACCAUUAACAGCAACAACAGCAACAACAACUCAAACUACUUCCGCCUCUUCACCUUAUCUCUCUUCAUCACUCUUCUUACCUAACUACCAAAAAAUGCUACAAAACUUCAAGAUCUAUAUCUACAAUGAUAUGAUUAUUGACAAUCAAAUAACCUUCCCUUCCAAUAUUGAAUCACUUUUCCACUAUUCUCUUCUUGAAAGCUCUUUUAUAACAAAAAAACCCCAAUGAAGCUCAUUUCUUCUACUUAUAUUUUUCUCCUAGCUCUUCUUACAAAUUUAUUUCAAAUAAGAUUAAAGAUUUACAGAUUCAAUAUCCUUUUUGGAAUAGAACACUUGGUGCUGAUCAUUUUUAUAUUUCAUGUAACGGUAUUGGGUAUGAGUCAGAUCGGAAUAUAGUUGAGUUAAAGAAAAACUCAGUUCAAAUAUCAUGUUUUUCUCCUAUGAAAAAUGAUCGUUUUAUUCCUCAUAAAGAUAUCUCUUUACCACCUUUAAUAACUGUAGAUUUUCAAACGGAUACUGUCAACAUAGUACCAAUCUCGAAGAAGAAAUAUUUCGGUUAUUUCAACAACCGAGAUAUAGAUAAUCUUGAUCCUGUUAUUGAUUUUAUCGAGGAAUUGAGAAAUGAUCCUGAUUUUAUGACUGACACUGAACCGUAUGAUUAUGAUUGGGUUUCAAAUAUUAAGUUUUGUUUGUUUUUCUUCACUGAUAAAUUUGUUUCAAUUUCGGGUUUUGAAAAAGCAUUACGCUAUGGAUGUGUGCCGGUGGUGAUUACUGACCGUUCGAUUGUUAAUUUGCCGUUUGUUGAUGUGUUGAAAUGGAUGGAGAUUGCUGUGUUUGUUGAUAUAAAGGGUGGACUUAAGAAUUUGAAGCAAGUGGUAGGUCACAGGUGCGAAGGAGAGAAGUAUGAGAAGAUGAGAGAGUUGGGGAUGAAGGCCAGUAAGCAUUUUGUUUGGAACCAUUUUAGUCCACAGCCAUAUGAUGCCUUCUAUACUGUAUUGUAUCAGUUAUGGUUGAGGAGACAUACUAUUCGAUACACAAGAAGAGAGAUUAUCUAGAGAAAUAAAUAUGUAUUUCUUUCAUAUAUAUAAAACUAUAAAAGUACUGUAUUUUUUUUGCCUAGUGAUAUAUCUCUAUCUCUAGAGAAAUAUGUAUUUCUUCAUAUAUUUAUAUAAUAUAUAUAUAUAACUAUAAAAUUGUACAGUAUUAUGUACUGUAUUUCUUUGCCCAGUGAUGUAUCUCCAUUCUCACAAGGUUUCAGAAGCAUAGGUGAAAAAAUCGUUUAGGGGCGGAUAUCCGAUCUGCCAAAAACCGGAUUAUUCCACGGAUAUCCGACCUCCCGUGUCGGAUUUUUGAGGUUUGGCAAAUUCAAAAAAACCGGAAUUUUUCAUAGAUAUUCGCGAAAAAUUCGGCAAAUUGGGAGGUUUUCUGCACUUUCCGUGUUUUUUUUUCUGAUUUCGAUAUAUAAACUUAUAAUUAAAAGAAAAACAUACAUUACAAAUUAAACACACGACAAAUCAUACAAGGAAGCUAAGACGGAACUAUUACACAAGAUAGUUUUACUCAUAGGUGAAAAAAUCGUAAAUAUCGGGCGGAUAUUCAUAGAACUUUUAUAUGUUUACAAUACAAGAACUAAACACAAACAACCUCAUUACAACUCAACCCAUAGUUUUAUUUUAAUAAUCAAAAUAAAAGACAUGUUAACCCCAGAAUGAUAGACGCCCCUUGUCAAACCGAUGAGCUUCGAGUCGCAUGCGUGUGGGGACGAACUCAGUACAGUAAUAUUCCCAUGACAUUGUUUGCUCGUACGACCUGAAUUGGUCAAUAUGCAUAUCAUAUGCAUCUUGAUCCAUACAAUACGGAGCAAAUGAUUCAAAGAUAGGAAAUCUCGAGUAUUGUUGAACCGGCAUUAAUGUAUCGGCUGACUGCACGUCGGACCCACUUGUCAUUGGGGCCAACCAACUCCCUAUAUUAGGAAACCAAGAACCACUGUCAUCUGGUUGGGUUUGGUAGGAUGGUACACUGGAAUCAUCACUUUGGGAGGUUCCUAUGUUACCAUAAGAAAAAUGAGGGUAAACAUAGGUAGGUUGGAUGUUGGUUUGAGAAUAAGGGAGGUUCCACGAACCUUGGGAAGAAAACUGGUCAGGAAUGUUCCAUGAACCUUGGGAAGAUACCCUAGAUGAUUUUGUUUCCGUUUUAGGAUGCGGUCUUUUCUGUCGAGGUCGUUUUCCUUCUCUUGGUUGUUGCCAUCCAGCAUGGUCUUCAUCUUGGGUGGCAAAAAGAAAUUGAGACUCCCCCCGUAAAAUGAAUCGCUUCUGGGCGUGCUUUUUUUUCGUUUCUUUCUGAUAUAUUGCUCUUGGAGGGCCAUCAAGUUCGUCGCGAAAGUUUCCAAACGUCUAGUGCCUUUUGGACCUUUUUAUGAUAAUCUCAUCGAAAAUUCUAGUUCGGGGGGAUUAAAAAUAAAUGUGUUAAUUUUAUAAUCGAAAAUUUCAUAAAUUUCGAUAAAUAUCGGUUUUUGCCGAAUUAUGCCGCGAAUAUCCGAUAAAUGCCGACCGGCAUGGGGUGUUUUAAAAUCCGUUUAUAUGCCGUACCGUGCCGAUCUCAAAAAAAAACGGAAUAUAUCGCGAAUAUCCGGUCGGCAGAAACGAUUUUUUCACCUGUGUUCAGAAGUAUCCACAAUUCCACGUACAAUAGGAAAUUAUACAUAGAAAAGGUAUUACAUAUUACAAUUUUCAACAACGGUAAGAAAAAUUGCUCAACAAACCGACCGACCGACCAACCGACGCUAUUAGUUAUCUGAAAGAAUUGUUUCUCUCUCUCCUUUUCUCUUCUAUUCACUAUUCAGCAAGAAAAGAAUUGUUUCUCUCUCUCUCUCUUCUCAAAGAUUUGUUAUCGAGCAAUUUCUUCUCUCUUCUCGAUCGAUCGAAAAAGCAAUCUCUCUCUACCUUCUCAUCGAUUUGUUUCUCUCUCUACCUUCUCAACGAUUUGUUUCUCUCUCUUCUCGAUCGAUCGACAAAGCAAUCGUUUGUUCGAUUCAACAAUCUAAUAUCUCGCUCUUCAAAAUCAUGAAAUCGUUUGCCAUUGUUAAGUAAGUAUUAAUUCGAUUUUUGGAAUUCAAGUUGUUGUUGAUGUUGAUGAUCAUCAUCAUCUAUUCAAAAACCCUAACAAAUGAAUUACAAAUUGAUGUUGUGAUAGUGAUUCUUUAGGUUUUCUUAUUUAAUUUGCUAAACCCUAAAUCACACUGUGCGUUCUGUUGAUGAUCAUCAAUUCAAGUUGUUGUUGUUGUUGAUAUUAAUUUUACCAAUAUUAUUUGUAUGAUUUAUCAAUUACUACCGUAUAUCUUUAGUAGAAAUCGCUUUAGUAUUAUUGUCCUGAAUUUUGAUGAAUAUAUAAAGACUAUAGUAAUUGGGAUUCAGUUAUAGCAAAUCACCAUCACAAACAAACCCCUAACCAUUUAGAUAAACCUUACUUACAAACUUCUCUUACACUUUCUUUGUUUUGGUAUGAUCUCUAAUUCUACUACCCUUUAAAACAAGCAAUCCUUAAUCCUAGGUAUACAUAUAAAUAAAUAAAAGAUAUGUUGCUUCGUUUCCUCAGUUUUGUUUAUUUCCUGGUAAGUAAUAUAUUUUCAACGGAAUUAGUGUGUAAAAUAUGAUGGAUAAGGGCAUCCCUAAUGGACCAUCAAAUCUGGUAUCAAACUCAAAUUUGGUAAAAAAACAACAAAACUCAUCUCUAAUGGACCAUCAAAUUUGAGUUGGUAGCAAAUUUUUAUCAAAUUUUCACCAAAUUUGGUGAAAAUUUGGUGUUUUUGGAGAAAUUUGAUACCACACUUGAGCGGGCAAGAGCGAACCGCUCAAAUUAAGUGGCUCAUGAACACCCGCUUUGGGCGGUCCUUCAUUACCCGCUCAAGUCUAGGCGGUUCUUCAUUGCCCGCUCAAGUUCAACCGUUACAUUGAGCGGCCCCCCAUUGCCCGCUCAAAUUAUAACAUAUUAGUUUGAUUGCAAUUAGUGAACAAAGUAGUUGGGAUUCAUCAGAACAAGAGAACAAAACUUUUUGAUGAAGAUAAAGUUGGGAUUUUUAGCAAUAUCAAAAUUUAAUUACAAAGCAAUACCAAAGAAGUUGAAAAAAAUAAGAUUUUUUAGCAACAACUCAAAAUUUAACAAUUUCAAAGUGCAACAAUAAAGAAUUUUGCAUUUACAUUACUCAAACUUUGUCAAAUCUAUUCUCAAAUUUGUCGAAUUGGUUCUUAAUCCCAUCUUCUAAAACUAAGAAAAAUAAGAAAAAAAAAAAAAAAAGAACAAAGGAAUCAUAGGAGAUUACCUCAGAACAAUGGGUUGAUUCACCAGUUGAUUCUUCAUCACAAUCCAUUAGAAUAAACUAGGGCUUUGGAAGAAGAAGAAGAAGAGGAGAUCAGUGAACAGAGAAACGUGAUUUUUUUCACUAAGAAUAUGGGCGGCCCUUGUUUGCCCGCCCCAUAACAUGCAAGUGGGUGUUAAAAGCCUGCCCCAAAGGAGCGGGUGUUAAAAGCCCGCUUAACCAAAACGGUUCUCUGUUGCCCGCUCAAGUUUGGUAAACCAUUAGAGAAAACGAUUUUUGGUAGCAAAUAAAACACAAAAUGGGUAUCAAAUGUGCUUAGGUGGACCACCAAAACAAAAAAACCAUUAGGGAUGCCCUAAGCUUAAACAUCUGGGUCUAUUUGCUCAAAUUUUAGACAAAGUGCCAUUUGGGAUCAUUACUCAACGCCUAUGCUGUCAGAGGCGCCGCCUCAGCGCCGCUCAGCGCCGCCUAGGCGCUAAUUUCACACAGGUACGCCUCGCUCUACAGAAACUACCGCUUAAAACGCACUGGGCCGCUUGGGCGGCGCUCAGGCCCAGCGCUCAGAGAGAAGCGGCCCAAAAAAUGCGUUUUGGAGCGGCCCAACACUUAAAAGCCCAAAAAAAAAAACAACAAAAAGGGGAAAAUCAGACUUCUUCUUCGAUCUAGAUCUAGCGAUCUAGAUCUAGCGACUGGUGGUUUCUUCUUCUUCUUCUUCUUCUUCUUCUUCUUCAUCUCUCUCUGUUUGUUCUUCUGUCUACAGUGUAUUCAACAAAUACAUCAGUCUUACUUCGAAAAUACUAAACUACCCUUAGUCUCUUAAAAAGUUAAAGGCACUUAGGCACAUGACUCUCAAUUAUCUUCUCACUUUCUCAGUUGGGGGCGCCGUCUAAGCUCCGCCUAAGCGCUAGGGGCGCUAGUUAUUUUUCUUGGCGCCUAGCGCUUCGCCCCGCCUCUGACAGCAUAGCUCAACGCAAUGGGCACCACACAAGAAUGGGGUCCCUUUCCCUUCUUGGAGUACCCAUAUUAAUUAGUCAAGUUUUGGAGUAAAUUAAUUAGUCUUACUAUACUUUAUUGUAUUAGUCUUACUAUACUUUAUUGUGUGCCUGGAAGUCUUAAAGACCUUCUUAUGUAUUCUAUUUUUUUUUCUUGGUUUGGAUGUUAUAAAAAUAAAACUAAAGACUAUAUCUUUAUGUUAUUCAAUUCAAGUUGUUGUUGUUGAUGUUGAUGAUCAUCAUAAUCUAUUCAAAAACCCUAACAAAUGAAUUACAAAUUGAUGUUGUGAUAGUGAUUCUUUAAGUUUUCUUAUUUCACACUGUGUGUUCUGUUGAUCAUCAAUUCAAGUUGUUGUUGUUGUUGUUGUCUUUUUUUUUUUUUUUUUUUUUUGUAAUUAUAGUGAUAAAGAAACAAGAAGAGAAGAGAAUAGUAUCGUCUCUGCCAAACAUAGAUGAAUCUUCUGUAUAGAAUCUUCUCUGAUGGAUCUUGCAAUUUAUGUUUGUUUUCAAUUUCUAGGGUUUCGUAUGACUGAUUGCAUUGUUAUAAUUGUUUGAAUUGAGUGAAUUUCUAAUGAAACUCUGAGAAGAAGAAUAAGAAUGGAUAUAUCGCAAAACUCAUCAGCAAGUGCAGCUAACGCUAAUGGUGGAAUCACUCAAACCAACGAUCAAGAUGAAUCAAAGCAGAAUCUCAAUCACGUUAUUAACUCCAUCGAUAAAACCCUUGGCCUUCUUCAUCAACUUCACCUUACAGUUUCUUCUUUCAAUGUUGCAUCUCAACUCCCUCUUCUGCAACGAGUGUAUGUGCUUUUUAUUGAUUCCAUAAGUUUACCCUUUCAAUGUUUUAUUACAAUUUCUUAUAAGUAAUUCGGUUUUCUAAUUUGGGGAUUUCUUGAUUUAAGGGUUUAUGUUUUUUUUUUUUUUUGCAGAAAUUCUCUGGUAACAGAGCUGGAUACGAUGCAGAGAUUAGCUGAUAAUUGCAAUAUUCAAGUUCCAAUGGAGGUUGUCAAGUAAGUUAUUCAUUUUAUUUUGAAUUUCCCUCAUUUAUUGUGCGGUGCGGGUUUGCAUGUUAGGGAGUGGAGUUGUUUUUUUGCCUAUUGAUUUUUGUUUGUGUCUUUGAUUGGUGUUUUAGUUUGAUUGACGAAGGGAAGAAUCCGGAUGAGUUUAAUAGGGAUGUUAUCAAUAGUUGCAUAGCCAAGAAUCAGAUUACCAAAGGCAAAACUGAUCAAUUCAAGGUAGGGUUUUAUUUAUUUAUUUUCCUUCUUAUCACAGUUUUGAUUAAUGUAUUGAUCUUUGUUAAAUAUCUGCAAUUUGGUCUAUCUAAUUAAUGUAUAGGCAGGCAAUUGAGCAUUUCAUAUAUGUACUACUGUUUGUUUAUUGAACACGUCUGUUUGAAUUGGUAGAUGUGCAAUCCAGUCCUAUGUUGGUGCUUGAAAUAGAAUUAGAAUAGCCUGGUGGUCCUUGACAGCAACAUACAAGCCAUUCCCACAUUUUAUGAAAGCUCUUGCCCAUGUUAGUGAUAAUCUGUAAUCUGACUAAUGAGGCGUAUUGGUGCUUUGUAGCCAUGUGCUUCUUAAUGGGGUGUCUUAAUUAUAAAAACCUAGCCAUAAUCUGAGACAGAUUUAAGGGUUCAAUGAAGGGUGAGUGGAUUUUUUCGCAUCGAUCAAUAUCCCUCUACAGUAGAUGGUCUUGUUAGUAUUGUUUUAGAAUGCGAUGUUUUCAAUUAAUAAUGAUAUGGCAUAAUAUUUAUAUUUUCUUUCUCUUUCUGAUUACAUCAUCUAUUUAAUAUAGUACGCAUUGAAUAAACAAAAGUAGGUCCAAUCUAAUUAAGCAACCGACUAAUGUUAAUUUUAUUUACUCGCUAUAGGAUGUAACAAUUAUGAAUUGUUUUUUUAUCCGAUGUUUCUGUUUGCUGCUUUGAAUCUGAAAUGACCAAGACUUGUUGAUCAUCUUUUUGUCAUAAGUCCUUAUAUUCAUGAACACUCUCUAUCGUUAUUGGCUCGAUCUAGUGAUUUACCUGCCUUAAUAAACGUUUCCUCUUUUUUCAAAGGGUUUACGCCGACACCUUUUGGAGGAACUCGAUCAAGCAUUCCCUAAUGAAGUGGAAGCUUACAGGGAGAUACGUGCAACUUCUGCUGCUGUAAGUCGAAUUAAGUCUUAAAUCAGUUCUGCAACACUUCAGUCACCUAUUAUAAUGUGCAAAAAUAUCAGUGCUGCUCUGUUCUUCUCCAAAUAUUGAAGUGAAAAAAAAAACAAUACAAAAAAACAUUGUUUAUUUUCUUGUACUUGCUGAUGAAAAAGAAAUGAAUAACAAGUCACAGGACGAAGUGGUUGGGUCAGGACUCCAUAUUCAAUCUUUGGGUUGAGUAUGGGCCGGGCUCAGGAAAGUCCCCGGGCUGCAAUCCGUAGGCCAAUCAAAAAGAUGAAAAAGAAAUGAAUUUUUAGUUUCUCAUGCAGGAAUCAAAGAGGCUUGCACAAGCACAGAGCAUUCUACCAAAUGGAGAUGUAAAAGUCAAGGCCGAACAUUAGCUCCAUGCUGUUUUUCAUGGUUUAAAUUACCAUGAAAACAUUGUUUUGUAAAAGUCAAGGCCGAACAUUAGGUAUCUUUCGUUCUGUAUGACAUACGAAGCACUGUUAGGUUUGCAAGUUAUUUUUUACUAAAAACAUUGUUUUGUAUGAUUUGUCUGCAUAAAUUUGUUUGAAAUUUUGUAAUACUGAGAUAUGUUGUAACUUUUUUUACUCGUUGUUAUAUAUAUAUACGAAAAUUUGUCAGAUUCAACUCUUUUAAGUCCAUUUUGUAGAACCUGAUGAUAAAAAGUGUAUUUGUUUGGAUGUCAAGUCAAAAGUUGUUUCCAGAGGAGAUAACUUAGCUUCAGUCUGAAGAAAUUAUUGAAGUACUUUGUUUCCUUUUUCCGCUUCAGGUGACAGUGGAGUUUGAAUCUGAUUUACCAAAAUUACUACUCACGUAAGCCUCCAGUAUAGAAUUAAACGAUGAGAUCAAUGGUAUCCAAGUGGCUCAUAUGAAACUGACCAAGAAAUCUCGCCUGUUAUCCCACCAAGCCUUGUCUCCUUUCUGUAAGUAAUUCCUCUUCUAGGGCAGGCAAGCAUCAUUCACCUCCAUUUGGUUCACAGAUACGUUAAUUUAUGCAGGCUUCAUCCUUUUUGGUUAUUUGUCAUUCAAUUUUACUGUAGCACAUCCGUGAACUUCUUCUUCCUUUGCUGGAUGUGAAAGCUGUUAUUGCUGACACGUUUUCUUCCUUUGCUGGAUGUGAAAGCUGUUAUUGCUGACACGUUUUUCACUCGUAAAUAUCCCAACCCAUCUCCAGAUUUUUGGAAGCUUUUAUCCACAGCCUUUAGUUUACUGCUUUCUUACCUUAAGCAAAUUACCCACCAUAAGCCCCACCUGUGUCAAUAACAUUUGUUUUGGGGCUCUUUCUUGGCUUAGUUGCAAUUUCGAAGUUCCUAGAAUGACCUGUAAUGGAGUUUAUCAACAUCUGUUGAGUGGUUGGAAAUUAUGAAUACCUAAUUGUGUUUAAAAGAACAUAGAAAUAUAUUCCUUGAAAAAAAAAAGUUUAAGAAGAAUUGAUAUUUUAAUCACUUCAGAUUUUGAAAAGAAGUUUUCCUUUUCAUGUAUCCUAUGUUUCGUGUUCUCUUUCUAAAAUAUUUGUUGCAUGGUUUAUAAAUUAAUUAUAUAUAUUAAGAAAAUUAAAAGAAAAAGCUAAUGAUUAUAGAAAAUUUAAAGAAGUUAUUUCAUAGAUUUUGUUAGACAACCAAGAAGGAGAAACUAAUAAAAACUACUCCAAGGCAUUAUACAUCUCACAAAAAGUGUCUCGCCUGCAAGUCUAUGGAUGUGAUUUAUUUAAGAGUACAGAUAACAGAAAUCUUGAUACAAGGCAAGUUCCUGAGCUAGGUAGAAUUGUUGCUCCAGUCUACUAACGAGUGCAGCUUUCAGACUCUCUUCGGUCCUCAAUCCCUCAGGAACCCUGGCCACAAUAUCCUGUAGCAUCAGGUCCUUGACACUGGCUACACUCGCGUGCUGGACUUGCAAGUCUAGGUCUCUAAGUGCAUCCAUCAAUUUCGCAGAUGGAUGGUUCAUAUUCUCACAUUGGACUCUUGUCAUUGCAUCUGGUCCAUGAAUUCUCACCUCUACUUCCAUCUUUAGUAAACCUGCAGAUUCAGAAUCAGACCUUGGAUAGUGAUCAUGAACCAUGCCAUGUCGAUGAUGAUCCUUGCUAUUUAAUUUUUCUAUUUUUAUUUUCUUGGAAUAUUUAUGGACUUGCGUCUCUAAGUUAUCAAUCUUGGCCUUGAGCUCAUUGAUGUAGGACACUGCGUCUCCUAACAAAGAUGCUUUGUCCAUCCGUCUCCUAACAAAGAUGUUUUGUCCAUCCUUGACACAUUAGGGACCACAGCUUUGAGAGCAUAAAACCGAUGAUUAAGCUCUCCCUCCGCUCAGCCUCAACAUGGUUCAUCGGUCAUCUCUCCCAUUCCCAGGCUUUCUUCCUCUUUUCUUUGGCUUCCUCUUUUCUAGAGCCAGUGCAACAAAAGGACCAUCAGAGUUGGAGUGUUCUGAAUCCAAUGAAGAGGAUAGCCCGGUCAUUGCAACUUCCUUCUUUUGAAUUGUUCUGUUUGCUGCUUUGAAUCUGAAUUUUUUUUUAUGUAGAGGCUGGUGCCCAAGCCUCUUUAUUAUGACAGAUGAAGUAUAUACUGUAGUUUAACCAAUUGAGUUACUAUAGUUUCACGCAACAAAGAUUUCAUGUCAUUGCUAAGGGUUCCACACGUGGUACUAGCAUAUGAUAAGUCAACUUAAACUCGAUACUUUUGUUCACCCCUCUAUCACACAAUGGGGCGUCACAAUCUAUCUUCAUCCCACGUUUAAUAGUGUCGUCUUUAUGAUCGGAACGUUUCUACAUCAUAGUUUGGGGGCGAUUCCCUCUUUCACCUAAUGUAUCACAAUGGGGCGUAUUGUAUCAAUAUCAAGAGUGAUCACUCAAUAUCAAUAUCAAGAGUGAUCUCUCAUGAUCACAUCAAUUUCAAUAUCAAAAGUGAUCUCUCGUGAUCACAUCACUAUCAAUAUCAAGAGUGAUCUCCAAUGAUCACAUCACUAUCAAUAUCAAGAGUGAUCUCCAAUGAUCACAUCACUAUCAAUAUCAAGAGUGAUCUCUAAUGAUCACAUCAAUAUCAAGAGUGAUCUUUCACAUCAAUAUCAAUAUCAAGAGUGAUUUUUAAUGAUCACAUCAAUAUCAAUAUCUAUCUCAAUAGUGAUCGACAACCGAUCACAUCAAUUUCAAUAUCAAGAGUGAUCUCCAACGAUCACAUCAAUAUCAAUCUCAAUAGUGAUCGACAACCGGUCACAUUAAUACAUGAGGUGCCCCACAAUUUUGCAAUGACUACAGAAUUUGGGGACUUUAGGUACCUCCACCUCUUGAAGAAAAGAUUUUCCUUCCUCCUCCUCCACCCAAAUCUGUGAUGGAAUUGGCUUGGAGAGAUCAACAUCAACUAAAACUGACGCGUAAUAGCCGAAAGUUCUAUUGGCUGUAUGACGAUCAAUCCCAACAGGAUAACCAAUUGUUCUUCCCAACGACAUCAAAAUUUUGUAGUCCCAAUAUUGCUGCCCUAGUCUAGGAAAUUUAACCCAAACUAAAGCAUUUGAUUUCAUUUGCAAUUCUGGAUCAAACUCCGGCGACCAUUUAGAGAGCCGGAGAGUUUGAUCCCCAAAUUUCCAAGGUCCACCACACCAAAUGCGUUUCCAAUCCGCUUCACAGUCAAGACGAAUCAUAAAAAACCCUUUUCCCAAUGGAAUUAGUUUCCAGUCCCCUUGUGGUCUCCACUUCUCAAGAGCCAUGGAUCUCACAUCCUCAAGCUUGAUUUUGUUAAAAUCUAGCCUACCAAUGAGACAAAAUUUACAGUAUUGCUUUCCUCUCUCCACUGCCGCCUUUGUCAAACGAAUUGAGGGCAUGUUGCCUUUCAUUUCUGGACAAGGAAGCUCCUCCACAUCGAUGCUCUGUGGUUGUUCACCUCUCACUAUAUCUGCAAAGGAAACCCCACUAAUGCUUUCUUUCUCCUUCACUAGAAUUUGGUCUCCAAAAACUUUCUCCGAAACAGCUCCAGAGUAGAGAUACUGAUUCGGGCGUCCCCCCAAUCCAAACGGUUCAGUCGUCAUCGAAAAAGCGAGUUAGAAACCUCCGGUCAAGCUCCGUUUACCAUCUUCUUCGAUCUCCAGGUUACUAAAAGUGGAAAGAUAAUUUUUGCUGAUAAGGAUAAAGUUUUCCUCACCACACAAAAGUUACCAAACAAGGCAAAAAAGGAUCCUAUGCUACUCAGAAGCAACCAAAGUUAACUUGCUGUAGCAGAGCGAAAAAAACCUCAUCAAACACUGCGAAGUUAUCAAAAAGGAUAUUAGAAAAGAGGAGGCAGUUCAGGAAAAAACACUUGAAGAAGUGCAGAAAACUAAGAAGAAGAAGAACAAAAAAAAGAAGGGAGCAGGUGAAGGGACUAGUGGUGCCAAGGAUAACAAUGGAUGUCUAGUAAAUGAUUCUCAAAGGCCACUAACUGUUGAGGACAAUGUGGUUGAAUUAGUACAACAAGCAAUUGAUCAACAACCUACUGAAGUUGCUGGAAUAACUGUCAAUGUGGUGGCUGAUCCAGGAAAUACUACUUCAGUUGAUAUGGCUGAUCCAGUCUUAAUGGUGGAAGCUGCAGUAGAUCAUGUGGAAGAAAAUGAGAUUAUUGGGCAGAAUAAUAAUGCAGGGAGUUCUGGUGGAGCUGUGCAGAGUAGCUAUGUUGGGAGCCCCGUAGGAGUCUAUGAUGGGUUCAUUAGAGUGGAACUUUCGGCCUGUGGUGAGAGUGUCACUCCUGGCUCUACUCAUAGUAAUGCUAGAUAUGGUUCUCUACAAGGGACCCCGGGGAUAGUAAGAGAAACACAAUCCACUUCAACCAACAUGUUUGGUGUCUUGCAAGAAGCAUAACAAGUCUUGCGUAGAGUCAAUUGGGCUGACAGUGGGGAGGAAGGUAAUUGGCAGGUACAACAAUCAAAAAAGUCCCGAAAGAAAGGGGUGGAGAAAUCUCCCUCUAUCUCAGGGGCUGGAAAUUCUCAGAGUCGUAGAUCAUGACGAUAGUCUUCUGGAAUAUUAGGGGUGUGAAAAGAACCGAACCACACUCCUAUCUAGAAGAUAUUAUCGUAAAAUACAAGCCCGAUUUCUUAUGUUUAGUAGAGCCUAAAAUAAAACCUCCUAACAGGUCUCCAAUUCCUGCUAGGCUGGGGUACAGUAGUUCAAUAAUUCAUAAUGACAGUCCUGACCGGGUCGGAAAUAUUUGGGUGAUAUGGAGGGAGGGUCUUAAUGUUGCUUGUAUUGCUAAGUCAAACUAGCAAAUUACAGUGACAUGGGAUCAGGUUACCAUAUCUUUUAUCCAUGCUAGCUCUGUGUAUGGUAUUAGAAGAAGCUUAUGGGAAGAGCUCAGAAAUCUUAAGGUGAAUGGACCUUAUGCAGUUGUGGGUGACUUCAAUGUAGUGACCUCUAUCACGGAAAGGAAGGGUGGAGGUAUUCCUAGUAGAAUAGCUAUGAAUGAGUUUGUUAACUUCAUCAAUUCAGAAGCUCUUAUUGAUUCAACUACUCAGGGGUUUAAGUACUCUUGGAGUAAUAUGAAGCAUGGGAGAAGAAGGAUGGUGCAGAAAAUUGAUGCUUGUCAAUCAGCAAUGGUUGGAUGUUUUCAGUAGUUGGCGUGGCAAGGUCCUGCAUAGGAAAUUCUCAGACCAUUCUCCUAUUGUAGGGUGGUGCACAAUGGUUCCAAAGCCUCAUAACAUUCCCUUUAGGUUUAAAAAGGCCUGGAUAGGCCAUGCAACCCUAAUGAGUGUAAUUGAGAGCAGUUGGAAUGAACCUUUGUACGAUGUCCCGAUCAGAAAAGUUCUAAAGAAAUUGAAGAGACUAAAGGCAGUCCUAAAAGAAUGGAGUUGGGCAGUUUUUGGUGACUCUAAGUUGAAAAUUAAGAAUUUAGAGGAAGAGCUUGAGAUGCUGCAAACUGAACAGGAGGUGAUUCUUUUCGAUGAAGGAGUGCAGCAGCAGGAAAUAAAAAAGGAGACUGAACUGUAUGAAGCAGUUAAGGCAUACAAUACCACCAUUAGGCAGAAAGCAAGGAUUUCAGAUGCUUAUGAAGGGGAAAGGAACUCAGCCUAUUUUCAUGCCAUCAACAAGUUGCAUCUCAAGAAAUCACAAAUCUUGGAGAUUGCUACUGAUGAUGGUACAGUGUUGACUCAACAGUCAGACAUCCAGAGAUAUAUUGUUAAUGCCUUUGAACAGAAGUACAAGCUACAAAGCAUUGAGCUGCAACCUGAGUUAUUGGACCUGGUUCCAAAAAAGGUCAGCAGUGAAGAUAAUAAUAUGAUGUGUGUUGUUCCAUCAGAAGCUGAGGUUACAGAUGCAGUUAUGUCAAUGGAUCCUAACAGCUCCCCAGGCCCAGAUGGCUUCCAAGGCAUAUUCUACCAUACCUAUUGGAGUAUCAUCAGCAAGGAUAUCUGUAAGGCAGUUAUUUCUUUCUUUAAAGAUAAUAAACUGCCCCAAGGUAUGAAUUCUAGUUUCCUUGUUUUAAUUCCAAAAGAUCAAAAUGCAAGGCUUGUUAAUCACUAUAGACCAAUAUGUCUUAGUAACUUUCUUUUUAAGAUUAUUACUAAGAUCAUGUCUCUCAGGCUGAAAAAUGUGGUGGAGAACUACAUCAGCAAUGAACAACUGGCUUUUAUCAGGGGCAGGAAUGGUAACUCUGGAAUUGCAUUGACAUCAGAAAUGAUAAAUGAACUACAGAAGAAGAGAAGGGGAGGCAAUGUAGCUCUAAAACUUGAUGUGGCACAAGCUUUUGACUCAUUGAGUUGGUCUUUUCUUCUAGAAGUUUUGCGCAGAUUUGGCUUUGGGGAGAGAUGGUGUCAGUGGGUCCUCACUAUACUCAACAGCUCCAAGGUCUCAGUUUUAAUAAAUGGAGGUCCAUGUGGUUUCUUCAAUGUGCAGAGAGGUUUACGGCAGGGAGAUCCAUUGUCUCCAAUUCUGUUUGACCUAGCUGAAGAUGUAUUGAGUAGGAGGCUUAACAAUCUCUUUGAUAGUGGUCGUGUGCAGCAUAUGGCUACUGCAGGUUCUGUUGUUGGUCCUACUCAUAUACUUUUUGCUGACGACAUAGUAAUCUUUGCUAAUGGUGGGAUGAGAGGUUUGAGAAGGUUGAAAGAGUUAUUGUUAGCUUAUCAACAGAGCUCAGGCCAAAUUUGCAAUCCCUUAAAGAGUAAGUUGUUCAUGGGAGCAAUGACUUCAACAAGAAAAAAGAGAAUUGAAGACUUGUUUUCCAUUAAAGAGGGCACUCUCCCGGAAAAAUAUUUGGGAGUUCCUCUCUUUCAAGGAAGGGUCAGAAGUGAAUGGAUUCAGGUUUUGGUCGACAAAAUCAAGAAGAGGGCAAAUGCGUGGGCAGGAGGUUUACUAUCUUUUCAAGGAAGGGUGGUUCUUGCUCAAUCCAUACUUAGUAGCAUUCCCAUCUACAAUAUGGGGAUCUACAAAUGGCCAAGAAGGUGUAUUCAGGAAGGGGAGGCUGCAAUAAGAAACUUCGUGUGGUCUGGUAACCCUACUGAGAGAAGAGCAAUCACGCUCAAGUGGGAGAAGGUGUGCAAGCCUAAGGAAGAGGGAGGUUUAGGUCUUAGGAAACUAAGAGACCUAAAUCUAGCUAUGUUGAUGAAGUUGGCAUGGCAAUUACUGGAGAAGAAGACAGAAUGGAGUAAAUUUAUGUUUAACAAGUUUACAAGCAGGCAAGGAGAAUGGAUCAGCUAUCACAAAGCUUCAUCCAUUUGGCCUGGCGUCAGGUGGGCUCUAAUUGAGAUGAAACCUCAUCUUAGUUGGAUUGUGGGCAAUGGGCAUUCUAUUAAGCUAUGGCAGGACCCUUGGAUUGGAGAGGCCAUUUCUGACAGACUGCAGGGUGUUAACUGGAAGGUUUUCAAAGCAAAACUCGCUGAUAUCAUAGAAGGCAAUGAAUGGAGCAUCCCUGCUACUUUGUUGGAGGUUUUCAAUAAGCUUGGUAUUCAACAACAUGACCUUCCUCCUCUUGUACAAGGGGAAGAUAUCAGAGUCUGGAAAAGUAGUGUAGAUGGACAGUUUACAGUAAAAGAAGCAUAUGAAGCUAUAAGGAAAAAGGGUCCUACAGUGGCAUGGCACUCUUGGGUUUGGGCUCAACAUAUCCAUCCAAGAAUUGCUGGGAUGGGUUGGAAGAUCAUUCAGAAAGCUGUUGCUACUGACGACCAGGUCAGGAAACGAGGAGUUCAAGUGGUUUCUAGAUGCAGAUUGUGCUUGAAGGAAGAAGAGACUUAUGAUCACCUUUUCUGGGGGUGUGAGACCUCAAGGAAACUGUGGGACUGGUUGGCUGCAGUUUUCAAGGUCAACCUUAACUCUUAUGAGUUUGGUAAUGUCACCAAAGCAGCUAGAGGGAGAAGCUCACUGGUGAGGCAGCUUUGGAGUGCAGCAGUGAUUUCACUCAUGGUGCAGCUUUGGAAGGCAAGGAACAGAGUGCACUUUGAUGGAAUUUCUUUUGAGUUUCAUAGACUCAAAACUGAAACUCUCAAAUGCAUAAUUGUUGGCACCAGGGACAAUGUACAAUGAUUGUCAAGAUCUCCAGCUUUUGAGUAAUCUGAAUGUGAAAGGAAGGCCAAGACCUCUGCAGCUGAUCAAAGAGGUUUCUUGGAUACCACCUGAUGGUAACAUAGUGAAAAUCAAUACAGAUGGUUGCUCACUGGGGAACCCUGGACAUGGUGGAGCAGGUAUAGUAAGUAGAAAUUCAAACUUGGAAGUUCUUGGGGUUAUAGCCAAAGGCCUUGGGAUUGUUACUAGCUAUGAAGCGGAAUGCCAAGCUCUUGUGUUUGCUGUUGAACUGGCAGCAGAGAAAGAAUGGAGGGAGGUAUGGUUUGAAGCAGAUUCUAUGGCGCUAGUGCGUGCUUUCUCUAAAGGGAGGGUACCUUGGCACCUUCGUGCGAGAUGGAGGAAAGCUAUAGAGCAGUUGAUUAGUUGGAGAAUUUCACACACCUACAGGGAAGUGAAUUUUGCAACAGAUGCAGCAGCAAAGCAUGGUGCACAGAUGGACAUGGGCUCAGUUCUAUGGUCUGAACAAUGUCUUAUUGCUUUAGAAUGUCCUAGUAGAAUCUACUAUAGAUUUGCUUAAUUUGUUUGUUGGUUGAUCUAAAACAUCUCUACUGCUGUAAUAUUCUUUUAUUCUUAAUAUAAUUCCCUAUCUGUGUGCAAAAAAAAAAAACCGGUCACAUUAAUUUCAAUAUUCAAUAUGUGAUCUCCAAUGAUUAUGUGUAUAUCAAUACAUGAUUUAUAUAUAUCACACUCGUGUUUCAAGUCUACAUACGCCUGCAAACAAAUGGCCUACAUAUUUAUCAUCUUAUAGUCAUUCUUGUGGGGGCAAUGCUUUGCAUCAACGUCUUGAAUGCGGAUUCCGGUGUUUUUGUUGCAGUUUCUUUGUCUUGUUUGUCGUGCCUUUUAUUGGGCAUGGGACCUACCAGAUCGUCACCCUCGUCCGACAUGAUGGUGCUCAGACCGACCCCUUGGUCAGUAGCUAAACCAUCUGUCUCUUUGUUAGGCACACCUCCCUCCAAGCUACCUUCACCACCAGCAGCAAUCCCCUCGACAAUGCCCCCAGCUAUCUCCUCGUCCGACUUGACGAGCGGUAAUUGUUGUUCCGUUUUUUCGGUAUCUCCAUUUGGACAGUUUGUAUUGGAUUGGCCAUAACUUUCUGCUCCGAGAUCGGAAUGUCAAUCUGUUUUCUGGUUUGGAUAGAGGACUUCAUUAGAUUUCCAAUGAUAUAUAGCAUGUCUUCUGGAGAUACGAAUUUUGGCGGAAAAACGGCUCCAAAGUUCUGACAGUGUUUUGCAGGAUGCAUAGCCGCUGGAGAUUUUGGAAAAUUUGGCUAAGUAUGGAAUUGUCAUGUCCAUAGCUGCUGGACACAUGUUUGUCAUGUCCAUUAUUGCUGGAGUUUCCGGUACACUCUAGACUAUCACCUUCCCCAGCGGCUGUCUCUUCAUGUGCGGCUAUGUGCUCUGGAGCGGCUGUGUGUUCACGAGCGGUUGUUGGUUCACGAGCGGUUGUGUGCUCUCGAGCGGUUGUUGGUUCACGAGCGGCUGUGUGUUCACGAGCGACUGUUUGUUCACGAGCGGCUGUGUGUACCCCCUCAGAUUGCCUCCUGCCCACUCUUUCCCCAGCGGCUACCGACUCCUAUAGCCUUCUCCCUUGCCCGACAGCUAUGUCUCCAGCCAACCCCCUGCCUGCUCUCCAGCGGCUGCACCUCCAGCCUUCCACCUUCCCCAGCGGCUCUCUCUCCCACAACACCCUUGUCAGCCAAGUCCCCUCCCAGCUGCCCACUUGCCCAACGGCACAAGGCCCAGCUAUGCCCCUGUCUAUCUCCUCUCCAACAGCUACCCCCUCAACCAAAUGACCUUCAGCAGCCAGCUGCUCGCCAGACGUUUCCCUUCCUCCAGCGGCUGUGUUGUGCCUCCUUGGUCCUCCUCUCCACCAGCACCUAGUUGCUCGCUCAUCCUAUUCCCUCCUCCAGCAGCAACCUCCUCACCCAUGACACCAGCUGCGCCUAGUCGCUUGCCAGGUUGUGCUGGCAGAUUACCAGGUCCUUGCCCAGCAGCAGUAGACCUGGUCGGGACGCUGUACAGUUGUGUUGUCUCGGGUCUUGUCCCUCCACCAGCAGCAGUGGACCCCAUAGUGGGAUUGGGAUGUGUCUCGGGAUUGGGACUUAAUUUCCCCAGGACUUGUGUUUGCUUCUGUUGUGCUUCGCCUUUCUCAUUCAAUUCUUGGAACUCGCGUCCAAUUUCAAAGCCACCGUCACUCUCCACCUUCGGUUCCGAAUUUUUGAAUUGAUAUAUAUUCAAUUCAAUACACUUCACUAUCUCUUGUUUUUCAAGCCCAUUUCCUUUUCGGCCGGAUUUUCGUCACUCAAAUUUUAUUUCUUUCUACUCGGAUUUUUGGUCGAACCCAAUUCUCGUUCUCACUUCUUUCGCUCAAAUUAUUUUUUCAAUAAAUUUCUAUCGCCUGUUUCUUCGCUCAGUUGAGUUCAAUUUAUUUUUUCAAUAAUUUUCUAUCGUUUGUAUCCUCGCUCAGUCGCGAUCAAUUUAUUUUUCUAUAAAUUAAAAAAAAAAUUUCUUUAAAUUUUGUUAAAGAAAUUCUAACCUAAUAAUGAAAAAACUAACAAAGCAAAACUUAAUAUAAAGUAAUAGUUUUUGUUAGAUUGAGUGAUGGGAUCUAUAUGGGUGCAAAGAAACGACACCUAUAAAUAAAAACAAAGAUCAAAUUUUUUUUUUGAUUAAUGUAACAAUAUAUUUGACACCAAAAGCAAGAUUUACAAGCCUGAUCAGCACAUACAAAUGACUGUAUAUCGUCAGGUGGACUGUUAGUCAACCUCACCACUGCUCUUGCAUAAGAUGGCUCCAACCACGAAGUAGAUCAGCAAAUCUGAUGUCUUCUCUCAUCUUUAAGCCAUCUCGAUCACAGCUUAACCAGGCCCACACAGCUGCCUUAAUUGCAGCCCCAAUCUUAGCCACACUAUGGCUAUUUCCCUGAAAUAUUGCUUCAUUUCUCGCACGCCAUAUACACCACAACACUGCAUACGGCAAGAUAUUCCAGAUCUUACUUUUAACACCAUGUGCGUUCAAGGCUGGCCACCAAUUCAAUAACUGUUGUGGAUUCUCCACCGUAUGAAAUCCAGCACAGGCUCUAGCACAAACUGAAAUUAAACCCUGCCAAAUCUCCUUAGUGACUGUACAUGUAAUGAAGAGGUGUUUCGUGGACUCAGCAUCACAUUUGCAUAGCUCACAUCUGUUUGUCAAGAUCAUGCCUCUUCUCUGGAGUUUAUCAAUAGUCAAAGUUUUAUCCCACAUCAGACCCCAUAAGAAGAACUUGACGUUCAUAGGCACUUUCGGCUCCCAGACUACUCUGUAAGGAAACUCAAAUGGUUCGGAAGAUCGCCUUCGACCAAUGCUCAUUAGACUUGAGUAGCAAGACUUCACCGUGAAAACAUUAUCCCCUGUCAGAACCCACUCCCAAACAUCCUCCCCAUCACUAAGAGAAACACCCUCAAGAAGUUCCUGAAGAUGGUUCAACUGGGUAACUUCAAUUCCACGAAAAUGUGACCUCCUCAAGUGGAGCUCCCAAGUCCCCUCCUCACCACAAUGAUAUUUCACCGUACCCUCCUUCCUAGAAGCAUACUUGUACAAUCUGUGGAACCUCCUUGAGAGGAUGGUAUCCCCGAGCCACUUAUCAUGCCAAAACCGAGUUUUAUCCCCUCGUCUCACCACAUGCUUGAUGUUUUCAAAGAACUCCUCUUGUACAACUUGGAUCCCGCGCCACAAACUGCACCCAUAAGGUUGAGACGUUUUCCUUGGUUUACCACUAUUGUCACUCUCACCAUACUUGGCCUCAAUGACUCUUCGCCAAAGUGCAGAUUUUUCCAAUCCAUAUCUCCAUAUCCAUUUUGCAAGCAGAACUUGAUUCAUGGUCUUCAAAUCCCGAAGGCCCAAGCCCCCCUCUUGCAUGGGGGAGCACACCGUGUCCCAAGCCACAAGGUGCAUUUUCUUCUUAUUUUCACUAGAUCCCCAGAUAAAAUUUCUUACUAUCCUCUCAAGUUUCUCAGCAAUGCUCAUGGGGAUAGUGAAGAGGGAUAGUUGAUAAAUAGCAAGGCCCGCCAAAGUACUUUUGGCAAGAAGUAGUCGAUCACCCUUAGACAUAAGUUUUCGCUUCCACCCACUCAGCUUCUUUUGAUACGACUCAACGACUGAGCUCCACACAUCCACAUUCUUGUACUGCGCCCCUAAAGGCAAUCCAAGAUACUUCCCUGGCAACUGGGCCACACCACACUAAAAAACCGAGCUAGGCUCUCAAUGUUGUGAACAUCCCCAAUCGCAUAAAUGGAUGACUUAGAGAGGUUAACUUUCAGUCCAGACACAACUUCAAAGCAAGUAAUCACUAGUCGAAUCACAGACAAAGCCUGAGUCGACGGUUCAGUGAAAAAAAGGGUGUCAUCUGCGAACUGUAGUACUCCAACCAUAACACCUCCAUUCCCAAUCUCAAAACCCCUCAGUAAACCAUCAUGCAUACAUUUCAGCGUGAAACGGGAAAAAGCUUCCAUAACCAGGAUAAACAAAAACGGGGACAGUGGGUCUCCCUGACGGAUACCUCGCUGGGCCUUAAAAUUCCCCUCUGGCGAACCUUCAAUGAUCACUGAGAAACGUGCUGUCGACACACAUGUAGGAAUCCAUUUCCUCCAUCUCAAGCCAAACCCCAUCCUGCUUAGCACAUAAUCAAGAAAAUUCCAAUUCACAUGAUCAUAAGCUUUAGUGAUAUCAAUCUUACACAAAAUCCCAGGAUCCCCUUGUCGUAAUCUUGCAUCAAUACUCUCAUUAGCAAUGAGUAUACUAUCCAGAAUUUGUCUAUCCCCAAGGAAAGCUCCCUGAGUAUCAGACACAAGAAACUGUAGCACUUGUUUAAUCCUUGAUGCGAGCAAUUUAGAGAUAAUCUUGUACACACCCCCAAUGAGACUAAUGGGUCGGUAGUGUCCAAUAGAUAGCACACCCUCCUUCUUCGGGAUCAACGUGAUAAAAUUAGUAUUCACACGCCAAUCAAGGAAUCCAGAAUUAUGGAACUCACGGACAAUGGACAUGAUAUCCUCCUUAAAGACACUCCAAAACACUUUGUAAAACACCAUGGGAAAACCGUCCGGGCCCGACGAUUUUUCCCCCUCCAUAUCAUGCAAAGCUUGGACCACUUCCUCAACUUCAAAGUCUCUUUCCAAAUCCUCCCUAUAUUGUGAUUCCAAGGAGUCAAAAAACAAACCAUCAAGCUUAGGUCUAUUUUUGAAGUCCUCCGUGUAAAGAUCGGUGUAAAAAUUCACAAUAUGCUCUCUAAUUCGAUCAUCAUCUCGAGACAAAGAACCAUCAAUGGAGAGACAAUCAAGACUGUUUGCUCUUCUACGCACAUUAGCCAUGAUGUGAAAGUAUUUGGAGUUAGAUUGCCCUUCUAGGUAGUACUUAGAGCAUGACUUUUGCCUCCAACUAAUUGCAUUCAACCGAAGCCAAUUUUAUGUGAAAGUAUUCCUAGUUUCUUGAAAUUUUUAUAUCAUGAAAUCAAAGAAAUACGUUGUCCUUGUUAAUGUGAGGGUAAUACAGUACGAUAUAUGCUUAUCAUGUGGGUAUGGUCUCUUGUUGUUAGCUACUAAUUAUGUUCAAGGCAUUAUGUGAGCCUUGGACAUGGUGUCUUGCUUUUUAUUUUUGGUUCAAGGGUGAUUAUAUACUUCUCUUUAUAUGAUAUAUACAAUAUCAUGUUUGGUUUGUAAAAUCUUUUGUUCCUAAAAAAUCUUCAUGUUAUCUCUUUGGCAUAUGCAAUAAUAGUUGUUUUCCUCCAUUAACAGUUUUCAAAUCAUUUUAUAUAUGUUUGGUAAAUUAAUUUUAAAAUUACAAACUCUACUCAACUCUUUGUAAAUUGUAGAGGGAUGAGAGGAACAAAAAAUAUUGUUAAAAAUAUUAUGUAUAUUAUUAUACAUAUAUAAUGUUAACAAUUUUUUGUGCUUAAAAAAAUUUGACCUUAGGAAUUAAAAUAAACCAAAAUUUGUUCGAUUUUAAGAAUAAAUCAAAAAUAUCAUUUGUAAUCCCAUUUCUUAUGUAAAAAAAAAAAAAAAAAUUACAACCCCUCCACUAAAAUAAUCGUGUCGUAAGCACGGGUUAUCACUAGUUUUUUAUAUAAUAGAUCUUUAUAGUAAAGAGAUCACAUCUACCAAAAAUCAUGCCAACCCAAUAUGUACAAUUACCCUAAAUAAGAUUUUGUGUCAAAAAUUUCCUGAGUCCCUAUAACCCCUCUUUUUUUUAUUUUUUCUUUUUUUUUGGUAAUAGAUUAGGAUGAUAAUAAACAAAAUAUUUGUAAAACCCGGUUUAUAUUAUAAAUUUUUGUUCGUUAAAUUUUAUUGGAUUAUGAAAUAUUGCAUAGAUGUCUUUAAGGGUUUAGAGUUAAUUUUCUAUUAAGUUGAAGGAUGAUAUAUUAAUUAUUAAAAAAAAGAAAUAGAUGGAAUUGGGUUGGGUAACAGAUUCAUUUAUGGUCCUAAAAUAAAGCCCAUUAACUUCUCCAUAUUAUUUAUAUUAAAAUCUUAGGGUUUUCAUUCAUUUUUUUAUAACACCAUAUUUGGGAGAAGAAGAAGAAUUGGAAGAAAGCUAGUAGAAGAUUUGGAUUUUUAUGCUUAUACAAGUGAGUAGACGUUUUUGUUUCUAUUUCUGUUUUCUGUGAUUUCAGAUUUUUUACUCAUCUUUGAAAAAUCAUAGAAAAUUCGUUUGAAAAGAUUUUAAUUUGAUUCCAAAAACCCUGAACACUAUAUUGAAAUGUCUUCAUUCGAUUAGUUAAGACCAAUUUACGAAAGUUAUUUUAAUUUGGUGAAAAACGACUUGCAAGUAUGACAACCGUUGCAGUUUUUGGUUUCUGUACCGUUUUAGUAUCGCAAGGUUUUGAUCCUUCUAGACUUAAUAAUAUUUAUUGAAAAUUUUAUGGUAGUUAUAAUACUCAAGGUAUAACACCAUAUAUAAAUUUCGGAAUUUACUGUUAGGUAAUUAAUUCUAAAUAAUUUAUUCAACGUAGUUAUAUUCAGAUAUCCAGUAUAAUUUUACUGCUACCUUUCUGUUUGCGUGGAUAUCAUAGAAAAAUCAUAAAAGACUCGUUACUCAACAUAUCUUGAUGAAUUUACUUGUUUUAGAAAAUAGACAUUAUGAACUAUAAUAUCUAUGUUUAGAAAUACUUUAAAUUAUGAGGCUAAUAUGGUGAAAAAUGCUCAGGAAGUCUGACGUAGAUUGUUUUAGGAUUUCUUUCUGAAAUCUGGUCGGAUGGAGUAAAACAAUUGUUUAAUUAUUUUUUUUAUAUCGAAACGAUUCCAUAUUUUUAUUCCAAGUAAUAUGUUCAUAGUAAAAGGUUGUAUUAAAAAUUUAUGAGAUUUGAGUAAUUAUUUUUAGAUGUGUGAAUUUUGAAAGAUGAAUGUUAUUGUUUGGCAGAUUUAUGUAAAGAGUUUCUUUUUAGCAUAUAUGUUUUCUUUUGGAUUUGUCCUUUUGUUUGAUUGUCAAGUUGAAAUAGUCAUGUACUAAAAGUAUUCUUAAUAUUGAAGUGGAUUAGUAUAUAAUGGCAUGUGACUUGAUUAAUUAUGUUUAAAGUAACCUGGAAAGUUAUAUUGAUGAACGCCUAGAAAUGGCUCCAUACCAAUGGAUGGUAUAUGAAUAGAAACGAAAUGAAUACUGAACUGUGGAUUUAAUUAUGGAAUGAUUCGGAAUGGUUUGAUACCAUGGACGGUAUAUAUUCAAUUUGGGAAAUAAGAACGGAAUACGAAAUGGACUUGGAAUUUAAUUGUUUGACAAGGGUUGUGUGAUUGCUUAAGUAGUUUAGUUGUUUUGGUAGUCGCCCAAGCAUUAGUACAUUUGCCGCACCUCUGGAAUUAGGUUAAAGAAAUUAAUUAUCACCCUAGACGGCUUAGCCUGCGGGUUGACUCUUGGAUUAUAUUUGGGUAUUUCCUAGACGGCUUAGCCUGCGGAACUGACCCUUCAGACCUUCAUAGCCUUCGGGGUUGGUCUGGGCGCCACAUUAGAAAGCUCAAGGGAGCUAUUAGAGAUCAUGAGUUAGGCAUACGUCGAGGCUAGCCAAAGCUUGCAGGUGAGCACCCACUUGGGUUUUGGUUUCCGCGUAGAGGUUCUUAACCAUGGUCAAGGCACACUGGUGCAGUGUGGGUAUGGCAAAUGUGUGGAGUGCAUCCUGUGGGAGGUGUACUAGUGAUUGGGCAUAGGUUGUGAUUUUAUGAUUAUUAAACCCGAGCACAGGCUAGAGGCCAGAACGAGGUUUUGUGAUUUUGGAUUCGUUGUUUGGUAGUGUGCUAAAGCUUAUGGUAUUGUAGUGCUUGGUGUUAAUUAAUGAUAUGGGUAAAUUUUAUAUACUUUGAUUAUGAACUGGAGGUGACUAUGAUUAUGUGGAAGGAUUGUGAUGUUUAAUUUAUUAUGGGAAUUAAUAGUAAUAAUUGGACUUGUCAUUUUGGUAGAUUAUAAACUAUGAAUAGUUGGAAUGAAUCAUUAUUAAUGGUUUGAAUGAACGAAAUGUAUUUUUAGGUUGAUACAAAGUAUUAGAUAACACGUAACGUGUAUGUGAUUUGGUUUACCUUUAUUAUAUUUAUGUAUUAUAUAUUAACUCCAUUUUGCAGGUGGAUAGGUCAACUAAUUUAUUUUGUGCAGGUGGAUAGACUUAUCCUUAAAGACAGUUGCUGCUUAGGUAAUGUAUUUGUAUUAUCGAUCAAUUAACAUCGUAAAUAGAUAAAUUAGAAUUGAAUAAUGAAGUUAAGCAUGUGAUUAUAUAAUGGAUAAAUUGUUUAAAUAUAAUGGAAUUGAUAUGGUUUUUGGCGUAUGUUUAUUGUCUAACAUGGACGAAUUGUUCUUGAAGGUUAAUUAUGUUGUUAAUUAUAUGUUGGAACUUCAUAUUUAUUAUGUUAUUUUGUGGGAAUAGAUUUCCCCGUUGUUUACUCAUACCGGCUUUUAUGCUGACCCAUGUUGCUUUGUUUUGCACGUGGGUGUGUUCCAUUUGGAAUGCAGGCAGGAGAGGUUAGAGCUAUGGAGCUAUGACAGAUCGCUUGUUGGGACCAGUAGAGAUCUUUAGAUGUUUCAGUCAUGUAUUUUUUUGAAAGUGGUAUUCAUGUAUUUUGUUGGUGUAAGUUGUGUUGUAUAAUAGGAUGGAAUCAGGAGUACUUUUAUCGUUUGGAUUUUUCUUCACUGUAUUUUAUUUAAGAUUUUUGUUGUACCUGGUUUUUGAGUUGGAAAUUGUUGCGGCAUGGGUUUAUUUUAUAUUUUUUUUAAAUUCGGGUCGUGACAAUAUUUCCAAAAUAUGUGCAGAUAAAAAUGGAUAGAGGGCUCUACAAGUAGGGGUGUUAAACGAGCCGAACGAGCCGAGCUUUGUAUGUUCAAGCUCGGUUCGUUUAUAAACGAGCCGAGCUCGAGCUCGAGCCCAAAUUUCAUACGAGCUUUAUUUUAUGUUCAAGCUCCGCUCGUUUAGCUAUACGAACGAGCUCGAGCCGAGCUCGAGCUACUAGAUUAAAUUACACAUAAAAGUAGGUUUUUGUCUAAACGAGCCGAGCUUUGGUAUGUUCGAGCUCGGUUCGUUUAUAAACGAGUCGGGCCCGAGCCGAGCCCAAAUUUUAUACAAGCUUUACUUUAUGUUCAAGCUCGGCUCGUUUAGCUAUACGAACAAGCUCGAGCCGAGGUUUUAACGAGACGAGCCCGAGCCGAGCUCGAGCUGUUCAGUUCGUUUAACAGCCCUAUCUACAAGUCAGACAUGUAAUAUAAUUGCAUGUGCAUGCACAUAUGCAACUCGGUCUACAGUGUGUUGCUUCUUAGCAACAUGCAUGUGUGGACUCUACGUUUGUAGUUGCCUCCAUAUUGGCCAAACCAACCAAUAUCAAAAUGUCAACGUUCAUUCAUUCAAUUCUUUCAAGCUUCUUUCUCAUUCCUGCAAUGGAAUAUCGUUUACUUUUUCUCCUCCUUCUACUACUAUCCAUCUCUGCUUUUCUUCAACUAAAACCAUUAACUGCAACAACAACAACUCAAACUACUUCUUCUUCUUCACCUUAUCUCUCUUCAUCACUCUUCUUACCUAACUACCAAAAAAUGCUACAAAACUUCAAGAUCUAUAUCUACAAUGAUAUUAACAAUCAAACAACCUUCCCUUCCAAUAUUGAAUCACUUUUCCACA